GGAUUGUGGCUCAGCGGUAGAGUGCUUGCCUCGCAUAUGCAGGACCCUGGGUUUGAUCCUCAGCACCA
rnacentral:tRNA from 1 species